rnacentral:sRNA from 1 species
UUCACAAAACUCAGAGGGGAAAUGGUGAAUUUAUCAAUAACUACUGUGAGACAGCACUGCUAAGUUAGGCUGGCUCAUGCUUUGUCAGAUAAUGUUAACUGAGCGCAAUCAAUAAGGACAAGGCAGAAAACGCUCAAGUCUUAGAGUCUAGAGAAAAAUGUACAAGAUAUAUAUUUAUACUAAAGACACAGUAACCAAACAGAGAAAUAAAAACCUUCAGAUUCCUUUCCCACUAUCUAAGGAGAAAAAUAAACUAUAAGGUCAAAAUCCUAAUACUCGGUCUGAAGUGGGAAGGUCCCUGUAGCUUCACACAUGGACUCUAAACAGCAGUGAGCUUCCCACACUGCUAACUGAACGACUGUUAGAAGGCAUAAGAGAACAAAGUCGUCUAGCCAAAAUUCUGAUCUAAACAAGACAGCAAGAGAAUGUAAACUGUUUCACAGGUGUAAGUAAGUGUUGUCUUCUUGAACGGGCAGGAGAGAGUGUAACGAGCACUGCUCCCGUCAGCAGACCAUAGUGUUGGCAGACUGCCUGGGUAGGGUCUGGGUAGGGUCUGGGUAGGGUCUGGGUCGAAGGCAGAUGUUGCCAAAGAGCAAGCCCGCAGCCACACGUCUACUUUCCUACAAAAAUGGGCUCUGAUGGUGCAAGGUUAGCAUUCAGAGGAGAACGGCAGGGCCCCAUCCAUGAGGAACAGAUAUGCAGGAUGGCCACAGAUGGCCACGUGUGGCUGGCUGGUCUUGAAGUCACAUGUUUGAUCCAGUCAUGAAGACUCAGACUACAGCAGGAAGCGAAGGCAGUGCAUGGAUGGUUUGCCAGAGAACUCUGUCUCCUUAAAGAUAUUCAGUUAUUUUGAAAAUUCCUUCUUUUUGUAGAGAAUAGUGAAGAAGUGGGUGUAUCUAUGAAACAGAAGAGUCUGGGCCGGGGCUCAGAACAGAAAGGACUCCAUCUCUCUCAGACAAUAUGCCUCUCUACAGGCUGGGUCUAUCUAGGUUAUCUGUGUACAUCAACAAAUGAGGACUAGGUCUGAUAGAAUCACCUUGGGUGAACUGAAGUUGUAGACUUUAACAGGGUUGUUUUAGAACAAAAGGAUUACACCUUUUACCUUCUUGGAUGAGAUAGCAGCUCUCAAAGGAAGCAUGCUCCUGGACAUCAAACAGACCACUCAGGUGCCAGGAAGCUGUGGGUUUGGAGUCAGCUAAAGCAGAGCUGUGGUACAUCUGUCACUGAGAAUGCCACACACGGGAGCACUUCAGACUCAGAGCAAGGAAAGCCAUGCCUCUCAAGAGGAAGGCUUCCCAAAUUAAAGCAGUGCAUCAGCACUGUGAGAAGCAGUGAGCAGGUGAGGACUGCGGCUGCACGGCCUGCUGGAGACAGAGCCCUGAGUAAAGGCCACACCAUGCCGCAGGGGCUGCCUCCGCCUGUCCUACCUUCAUCUCCAGGAAUCUGUCUAGUGUUGUGUGUUGGUGUUCCCCACCCUUCCAUUUCUUCUUCCUCUUUUGUUUACAAGGAGCUGCUUGCUCUCCUGGUGUGACAUUACUAAGUAGCUGUUGUUUUCCUUCUCAGGGAGUGACUGUUUUGAGACAUUUGCACUCCCCGCCCCUACUUUCUUGGACAGCUACACAUGUCCCUUUAUGAAAUGCCUGCACUUUAGACUAACCCCACCCCACCCCCACCUCAGACCUUCAGCUGUGGCCUAAUUAUUAGCAUCCUGCUCUUAACUGAGUCAACUAGCUGGGAAAUGCUCUUUUUCAUUUGCAGAGUGUAACCACUAAUUAGGUGACUUUCAGAGUUUCUGGAGCAGUUAUUUAGGGGAAAUUCUAAAUCUAAAGCAAAGGAGAGGGAGGCAGGAUGCUGACAAGGUGUGUCAGAAAGACCUACUGUGAAGCCGCAUGGCUAACCCAGCACUGCAAAGGUCCUCUCACAUUUAGGGUUAACAUCCUCAAAGAUGCCAAGAGCACAUUCAGGGAGAAGAACUUACUUCUAGGUUGAUUGCUUUUGUUUUUGUUUUGUAUCAGGGGUCAGGCCCUGGACUUUAUGUAUGCUAGGUAAGCACUCUAGUCCUGGGCUACAUUGCCAACCUUAGACUAGUUUCUCUUUCAAAGUUGUUGCUGCUGUUUUGAGACAAGGUCUCACUAUAUAACCCUGGCUGCCCUCAAACAAUCCUCCUCCUGCCUCAAACUCUUGAUUCCUAAGAUUACAAACCUGUAAAACUGGAGAAAUCUAAAGGAAUCUAAAAUUUGGAAGACCUAGUUUCAAUUCUCCACUCCUACAGAGGUUCACAACCAUCUGUAACUCCAGGUCCUGGCAUCCAACGCCCUCUUCUGCCCUCUGCAGGUAUCAGACAUACAUUCAAACAAAACACCCUUACACAGGCACAUUUUAAAAAAAUUCUAAGCAUGUGCCAUCAUAGCGGGCUAAGAUGAAUUUCUAAUUGAGAAAAUUUCAUUUCCAUAUGUAUGGACAGCAAAUGGACAUAGUAUCAAAUCGAUGCCCUACCAUUUCCAAGCUGGAUCUCCUGGUGGUGACUAGUGGGGUGCCUGGGGAAUCUGCUAUGCAGGUAUCUUUACAGAAUGGUAAUCAUUCCAGUACCUGGAAGGAGAGACUACACUGCUCUCUAUUGCAGAAGCCAGUGUUUGUUUCUCAGUCACCAAAAUGCAUCCAUUAAGAAUGGCAGGUAAUUGCCCUGUAACACUGAGAAAGCUCUUCCUGAAGGUUAUAGUCCUAAGUGAGAGUUUAUAUUGAGGAAUGGAAGGAGUUUCCCUCAAAGAUAAGUCUUUAUUAUUCCUCAGAGACCAAAGAUGUUAUUUGUUGAACCUUGACCUUGUUUUUUAUUUGUAGGGAAGGUUCUCAAUGUAUCAACAUCUGUAUAAAAACAAAGAUGAAACCCUCACUGGGCAAGAACUGUUCCAAAGAUUCAACACUCAGAGGAGAGCUCUGGACUUACUUGGGCUUCAGGAACUUAGCAGAAGCACAGUUCUGAGCGUCAAAACACAAGGGAUCUUGAAGGCCACUAGCUUUGCCUUUUGCUCCAUAGACUAUCAUGGGCCCAGCAAAGCAAGACUUGGCCCUGAUGUCCUCUAUCCUGGGUUCAGACCCAAGCUCUGCCUCUGUCUGAUGCAUACUGCAGGCAACACGCUACCCCCUGUGGACAUCAAUUUUACCAUCUGCAAAAAGGAGAAGUUCACAGAGCUUUCCCAGUGCUCCAUCAUAUAGAUGGGCAAACUGACACCCAGAGAAGGCAUGUGGGAUAACAACAGCACCCACCACCUGGAGAUGUGAACGCAGGGAGGCAGCCCUCUGAAGGCCAGCGCCAGAGGCCAGCGCAGAGCCGGCACUCAGUGCAGGUCAGCACUGCAGUUACACUACGGGUGAUAACUGAAGACCGGCCCCUAGGAAAGGGGUAACCUGGGAUAUGAGCCUCACACUGCCCUUUGCCUCUGGCUGGCCAGGGGCAGUGACAGCACAGACAUUUUUCCAUCAGCCCUAGGGUUCAGUGGCAAGGGAGGUGCAUCAGGCCACACACACACAAGAUAUGCUGAAGCCACUUAGUGGUUCCCAAGUGCUCCAGAUAAAUAAAGCUGUGGGGUUCUUCAAAAAAAAAAAAA